rnacentral:rRNA from 1 species
UACGUAGGGGGCAAGCGUUAUCCGGAAUCAUUGGGCGUAAAGCGCGUGUAGGCGGUUCCGUAAGUCCGCUCUGAAAGCCCAGGGCUCAACCCUGGGAGGCGGGUGGAUACUACGGAACUGGAGUACGGAAGAGGAGAUUGGAAUUCCUGGUGUAGCGGUGAAAUGCGCAGAUAUCAGGAGGAACACCGGUGGCGAAGGCGGCGUUCUGGACUGCUACUGACACUGAGGAACGAAAGCCAGGGGAGCAAACGGG